GGGGGAGUAACACGUGGGUAACCUACCCAUCAGCGGGGGAUAACACUCGAAACCAGGUGCUAAUACCGCAUAAUCUUUUUCUCCGCCUGGAGAGAAAGUGAAAGGCGCUUUUGCGUCACUGAUGGAUGGACCCGCGCUGCAUUAGCUAGUCGGUAAGGUAACGGCUUACCAAGGCGACGAUGCAUAGCCGAGUUGAGAGACUGAUCGGCCACAUUGGGACUGAGACACGGCCCAAACUCCUACGGGAGGCAGCAGUAGGGAAUCUUCCACAAUGGACGCAAGUCUGAUGGAGCAACGCCGCGUGAGUGAAGAAGGUUUUCGGAUCGUAAAGCUCUGUUGUUGGUGAAGAAGGAUAGAGGUAGUAACUGGCCUUUAUUUGACGGUAAUCAACCAGAAAGUCACGGCUAACUACGUGCCAGCAGCCGCGGUAAUACGUAGGUGGCAAGCGUUGUCCGGAUUUAUUGGGCGUAAAGCGAGCGCAGGCGGAAAAAUAAGUCUAAUGUGAAAGCCCUCGGCUUAACCGAGGAACUGCAUCGGAAACUGUUUUUCUUGAGUGCAGAAGAGGAGAGUGGAACUCCAUGUGUAGCGGUGGAAUGCGUAGAUAUAUGGAAGAACACCAGUGGCGAAGGCGGCUCUCUGGUCUGCAACUGACGCUGAGGCUCGAAAGCAUGGGUAGCGAACAGGAUUAGAUACCCUGGUAGUCCAUGCCGUAAACGAUGAGUGCUAAGUGUUGGGAGGUUUCCGCCUCUCAGUGCUGCAGCUAACGCAUUAAGCACUCCG
rnacentral:rRNA from 1 species